rnacentral:rRNA from 1 species
UGGGGAAUAUUGCACAAUGGGCGCAAGCCUGAUGCAGCCAUGCCGCGUGUAUGAAGAAGGCCUUCGGGUUGUAAAGUACUUUCAGCGGGGAGGAAGGUGUUGUGGUUAAUAACCGCAGCACUUGACGUUACCCGCACAAGAAGCACCGGCUAACUCCCUGC